GAUGAACGCUGGCGGCGUGCCUAAUACAUGCAAGUCGAGCGAACAGACGAGGAGCUUGCUCCUCUGACGUUAGCGGCGGACGGGUGAGUAACACGUGGAUAACCUACCUAUAAGACUGGGAUAACUUCGGGAAACCGGAGCUAAUACCGGAUAAUAUAUUGAACCGCAUGGUUCAAUAGUGAAAGACGGUUUUGCUGUCACUUAUAGAUGGAUCCGCGCCGCAUUAGCUAGUUGGUAAGGUAACGGCUUACCAAGGCAACGAUGCGUAGCCGACCUGAGAGGGUGAUCGGCCACACUGGAACUGAGACACGGUCCAGACUCCUACGGGAGGCAGCAGAAGGGAAUCUUCCGCAAUGGGCGAAAGCCUGACGGAGCAACGCCGCGUGAGUGAUGAAGGUCUUCGGAUCGUAAAACUCUGUUAUUAGGGAAGAACAAAUGUGUAAGUAACUAUGCACGUCAUGACGGUACCUAAUCAGAAAGCCACGGCUAACUACGUG
rnacentral:rRNA from 1 species